rnacentral:rRNA from 1 species
GAGUUUGAUCAUGGCUCAGGAUGAACGCUGGCGGCGUGCUUAACACAUGCAAGUCGAACGAACCUUCGGGUUAGUGGCGGACGGGUGAGUAACGCGUGGGAAUCUGCCCUCAGGAGGGGGAUAACGGUUGGAAACGACCGCUAAUACCCCAUAUGCCGAGAGGUGAAAUGAAUUUCGCCUGAGGAUGAGCCCGCGUCUGAUUAGCUUGUUGGUGAGGUAAAAGCUCACCAAGGCUUCGAUCAGUAACUGGUCUGAGAGGAUGAUCAGCCACACUGGGACUGAGACACGGCCCAGACUCCUACGGGAGGCAGCAGUGGGGAAUUUUCCGCAAUGGACGAAAGUCUGACGGAGCAACGCCGCGUGAGGGACGAAGGCCUCUGGGCUGUAAACCUCUUUUCUCAAGGAAGAAGAUAUGACGGUACUUGAGGAAUAAGCCACGGCUAAUUCCGUGCCAGCAGCCGCGGUAAUACGGGAGUGGCAAGCGUUAUCCGGAAUUAUUGGGCGUAAAGCGUCCGCAAGCGGCCUUUCAAGUCUGCUGUUAAAACGUGGAGCUUAACUCCAUCAUGGCAGUGGAAACUGAUUGGCUUGAGUAUGGUAGGGGUAGAGGGAAUUCCCGGUGUAGCGGUGAAAUGCGUAGAUAUCGGGAAGAACACCAGUGGCGAAGGCGCUCUACUGGGCCAUUACUGACGCUCAUGGACGAAAGCCAGGGGAGCGAAAGGGAUUAGAUACCCCUGUAGUCCCGGCCGUAAACGAUGAACACUAGGUGUCGGGGGAAUCGACCCCUUCGGUGUCGUAGCUAACGCGUUAAGUGUUCCGCCUGGGGAGUACGCACGCAAGUGUGAAACUCAAAGGAAUUGACGGGGGCCCGCACAAGCGGUGGAGUAUGUGGUUUAAUUCGAUGCAACGCGAAGAACCUUACCAGGGCUUGACAUCCUGCGAACCUUUAAGAAAUUAGAGGGUGCCUUCGGGAACGCAGUGACAGGUGGUGCAUGGCUGUCGUCAGCUCGUGUCGUGAGAUGUUGGGUUAAGUCCCGCAACGAGCGCAACCCACGUUUUUAGUUGCCAGCAUUUAGUUGGGCACUCUAGAAAGACCGCCGGUGAUAAACCGGAGGAAGGUGUGGAUGACGUCAAGUCAUCAUGCCCCUUACGUCCUGGGCUACACACGUACUACAAUGCUACGGACAAAGGGCAGCAAACUCGCGAGAGCUAGCAAAUCCCAUAAACCGUGGCUCAGUUCAGAUCGUAGGCUGCAACUCACCUACGUGAAGUAGGAAUCGCUAGUAAUCGCAGGUCAGCAUACUGCGGUGAAUACGUUCCCGGGCCUUGUACACACCGCCCGUCACACCAUGGAAGUUGGCCACGCCCGAAGUCGUUACUUUAACCCUUGUGGAGAAGGACGCCGAAGGUGGGGCUGAUGACUGGGGUGAAGUCGUAACAAGGUAACC